rnacentral:ncRNA from 1 species
CUCGCAAAUUUAUCCCCGAUCUGUGGUAUCCGCACUGAACGGACCCGGAUCUUUGUGAAUUUGUAUCCAUCCUGGUUGAUGCUGAUCAUCACCUAGAGGUUUUGUGAUUUAAUUAUGAGCCUGGAGGAGGUAGGAUAGAGUGUUCAAAGCAGGCUCUCGAGCCUGGAUAAUGGAAUAGGACCUCGGUUCUAUUUUGUUGGUUUUUGGAGCGCGAGGUAAUGAUUAAGAGGAACAGACGGAGGCAUUCGUACUGUGCCAUUAGAGGUAAAUUCUUGGAUCGGCGCAAGACAAACGACUGUGAAAGAAUUUGCAAAGAAUGUUUUCUUUAAUCAAGAA